rnacentral:rRNA from 1 species
AGUGAGCGCUGGCGGUAGGCCUAACACAUGCAAGUCGAACGGCAGCACAGGAGAGCUUGCUCUCUGGGUGGCGAGUGGCGGACGGGUGAGGAAUACAUCGGAAUCUACUCUGUCGUGGGGGAUAACGUAGGGAAACUUACGCUAAUACCGCAUACGACCUACGGGUGAAAGCAGGGGAUCUUCGGACCUUGCGCGAUUGAAUGAGCCGAUGUCGGAUUAGCUAGUUGGCGGGGUAAAGGCCCACCAAGGCGACGAUCCGUAGCUGGUCUGAGAGGAUGAUCAGCCACACUGGGACCGAGACACGGUCCAGACUCCUACGGGAGGCAGCAGUGGGGAAUAUUGGACAAUGGGCGCAAGCCUGAUCCAGCCAUACCGCGUGGGUGAAGAAGGCCUUCGGGUUGUAAAGCCCUUUUGUUGGGAAAGAAAUCCAGCUGGCUAAUACCCGGUUGGGAUGACGGUACCCAAAGAAUAAGCACCGGCUAACUUCGUGCCAGCCGCCGCGGUAA